AUUGAACGCUGGCGGAAUGCUUUACACAUGCAAGUCGAACGGCAGCACGGGAGCUUGCUCCUGGUGGCGAGUGGCGAACGGGUGAGUAAUACGUCGGAACGUAUCCAUGUAAUGGGGGAUAACGCAGCGAAAGCUGUGCUAAUACCGCAUACGCCCUACGGGGGAAAGCAGGGGAUCUUCGGACCUUGCGUUAUUGGAGCGGCCGACGUCUGAUUAGCUAGUUGGUGGGGUAAAGGCCUACCAAGGCGACGAUCAGUAGCUGGUCUGAGAGGAUGAUCAGCCACACUGGAACUGAGACACGGUCCAGACUCCUACGGGAGGCAGCAGUGGGGAAUUUUUGGACAAUGGGCGCAAGCCUGAUCCAGCCAUUCCGCGUGAGUGAAGAAGGCCUU
rnacentral:rRNA from 1 species